AAUAGAUACCCCGGUAGUCCACGCCGUAAACGAUGUCGACUUGGAGGUUGUUCCCUUGAGGAGUGGCUUCCGGAGCUAACGCGUUAAGUCGACCGCCUGGGGAGUACGGCCGCAAGGUUAAAACUCAAAUGAAUUGACGGGGGCCCGCACAAGCGGUGGAGCAUGUGGUUUAAUUCGAUGCAACGCGAAGAACCUUACCUACUCUUGACAUCCAGAGAACUUAGCAGAGAUGCUUUGGUGCCUUCGGGAACUCUGAGACAGGUGCUGCAUGGCUGUCGUCAGCUCGUGUUGUGAAAUGUUGGGUUAAGUCCCGCAACGAGCGCAACCCUUAUCCUUUGUUGCCAGCGGUUCGGCCGGGAACUCAAAGGAGACUGCCAGUGAUAAACUGGAGGAAGGUGGGGAUGACGUCAAGUCAUCAUGGCCCUUACGAGUAGGGCUACACACGUGCUACAAUGGCGUAUACAAAGAGAAGCGACCUCGCGAGAGCAAGCGGACCUCAUAAAGUCGUCGUAGUCCGGAUUGGAGU
rnacentral:rRNA from 1 species